GAGUUCAUUCUGCAAGGACUUUCAGGGUACCCAAGAGCUGAAAAAUUCCUUUUCGUGAUGUGCUUAGUGAUGUACCUGGUGAUUCUCCUAGGUAAUGGCACCUUGAUCAUUCUGACACUCCUGGAUGCUCGUCUCCACACACCCAUGUACUUCUUCCUUGGGAAUCUUUCCUUCCUAGACAUUUGGUACACAUCCUCCUCCAUCCCCUCAAUGCUGAUACACUUCCUAUCAGAGAAGAAAACCAUCUCCUUCACUAGAUGUGUGAUUCAAAUGUCUGUCUCUUACACUAUGGGAUCCACCGAGUGUGUGCUUCUAGCAGUGAUGGCAUAUGACCGUUAUGUAGCCAUCUGCAACCCUCUGAGAUAUCCCAUCAUCAUGGGCAAGGCACUUUGUAUUCAGAUGGUGGCUGUCUCUUGGGGACUAGGCUUUCUCAACUCAUUGACAGAAACUGUUCUUGCAAUACGGUUACCCUUCUGUGGAAAAAAAUGUCAUUAAUCAUUUUGUUUGUGAAAUAUUGGCCUUUGUCAAGCUGGCUUGCACAGAUACUUCCUUGAAUGAGAUUAUUAUAAUGUUGGGCAAUGUAAUAUUUUUGUUUUCUCCAUUACUGCUGAUUUGUAUCUCCUACAUCUUUAUCCUUUCUACUGUACUAAGAAUCAAUUCAGCUGAAGGAAGGAAAAAGGCCUUUUCCACCUGCUCAGCCCACAUGACAGUGGUGAUUGUGUUUUAUGGGACAAUCCUCUUCAUGUACAUGAAGGCAAAGUCCAAAGACUCUGCUUUUGACAAACUGAUUGCCCUGUUCUAUGGCAUAGUCACCCCCAUGCUCAAUCCUAUCAUCUAUAGCCUGAGGAAUACAGAGGUGCAUGGAGCUAUGAGGAAAUUAAUGAGUAGACCCUGGUUCUGGAGGAAA
rnacentral:lncRNA from 1 species